rnacentral:rRNA from 1 species
CAGGAUGAACGCUAGCGGCAGGCUUAACACAUGCAAGUCGAGGGGCAUCGGGAGUAGCAAUACUGCCGGCGACCGGCGCAAGGGUGCGUAACGCGUGAGCAACAUGCCCGUAUCAGGGGGAUAAUCCAUGGAAACGUGGUCUAAUACCCCAUAGUAAUUAUGUAAGGCAUCUUAUAUAAUUUAAAGCUUUGGUGGAUACGGAUUGGCUCGCGUGACAUUAGCUAGAUGGUAAGGUAACGGCUUACCACGGCUACGAUGUCUAGGGGUUCUGAGAGGAAGGUCCCCCCACACUGGAACUGAGACACGGUCCAGACUCCUACGGGAGGCAGCAGUGAGGAAUAUUGGACAAUGGAUGGAAAUCUGAUCCAGCCAUGCCGCGUGCAGGAAAAGACGGCCCUAUGGGUUGUAAACUGCUUUUGUAUGGGAGCAAUAAGGGCUACGUGUAGUCCGAUGAGAGUACCAUACGAAUAAGCACCGGCUAACUCCGUGCCAGCAGCUGC